AACGAACGCUGGCGGCAGGCUUAACACAUGCAAGUCGAGCGCCCCGCAAGGGGAGCGGCAGACGGGUGAGUAACGCGUGGGAAUCUACCCAUCUCUACGGAAUAACGCAUGGAAACGUGUGCUAAUACCGUAUACGUCCUUCGGGAGAAAGAUUUAUCGGAGAUGGAUGAGCCCGCGUUGGAUUAGCUAGUUGGUGGGGUAAAGGCCUACCAAGGCGAAGAUCCAUAGCUGGUCUGAGAGGAUGAUCAGCCACACUGGGACUGAGACACGGCCCAGACUCCUACGGAAGGCAGCAGUGGGGAAUAUUGGACAAUGGGCGCAAGCCUGAUCCAGCCAUGCCGCGUGAGUGAUGAAGGCCCUAGGGUUGUAAAGCUCUUUCACCGGUGAAGAUAAUGACGGUAACCGGAGAAGAAGCCCCGGCUAACUUCGUGCCAGCCGCCGCGGUAAAAC
rnacentral:rRNA from 1 species